rnacentral:lncRNA from 1 species
UUGGAGUAAGCAUUUCACUGACGUCGAGGCACAUCUUUCUCAAUGUCUUGGUGAAAAUAACGUUGAGUUCACUUCUGCCGUCGAUGAGUACUUUGGUUAACUUUGAGCCUGCCACAACCGGAUCAAGUACUAGGGGGAAACGGCCUGGUUCUGAGAACUUGGUCCAUUGGUCUUUUCUGCUGAAAGAAAUGGGCACUUAUGACCAUUUUAACGGUGUUGGAUCCGUUGGUUCAAUGGCCAUGAUCUCCCUGAGUACGAGUUUGUUGGCUCGCUUGGAUGCGGUGCCUGGAAUACCAUCGAAGAUGACGUUGACAGUUUUUUAGGCGGUCUGGAAGUCGCCUUCUUCAUCUUCGUUGUUGUGGACUUUGU